rnacentral:rRNA from 1 species
GAUGAACGCUAGCGAUAGGCUUAACACAUGCAAGCCGAGGGGCAGCACAUGAGUGGCAACACGAUGGUGGCGACCGGCGCACGGGUGAGUAACACGUAUGCGACCUGCCCGUAACUGGGGGAUAACCCGUCGAAAGGCGGACUAAUACCGCAUGACAAUGCGAUGCUGCAUGGCGUUGCAUUUAAAGAUUUAUCGGUUACGGAUGGGCAUGCGUUCCAUUAGGUAGUUGGCAGGGUGACGGCCUACCAAGCCUACGAUGGAUAGGGGUUCUGAGAGGAAGGUCCCCCACACUGGUACUGAGACACGGACCAGACUCCUACGGGAGGCAGCAGUGAGGAAUAUUGGUCAAUGGGCGAGAGCCUGAACCAGCCAAAUCGCGUGAAGGAUGAAGGUAUUAUGUAUUGUAAACUUCUUUUGUCGGGGAAUAAAGUGCGGGACGUGUCCCGUUUUGUAUGUACCCGAAGAAUAAGGAUCGGCUAACUCCGUGCCAGCCGCCGCGGUAAUAC